CGGGCUGUGGCGCAGUUGGUAGCGCGCGUCGUUCGGGACGACGAGGUCGUGGGUUCAAGUCCCGCCAGCCCGACAA
rnacentral:tRNA from 3 species